rnacentral:rRNA from 1 species
ANUGAGGAAUAUUGCGCAAUGGGGGAAACCCUGACGCAGCGACGCCGCGUGGAUGAUGAAGGCCUUCGGGUCGUAAAAUCCUGUCAGAUGGAAAGAAAUGUAUAUUGGUUAAUACCCUUUAUAUUUGACGGUACCAUCAAAGGAAGCACCGGCUAACUCCGUGCCAGCAGCCGCGGUAAUACGGAGGGUGCAAGCGUUGUUCGGAAUUACUGGGCGUAAAGCGCGCGUAGGCGGCUAUUUAAGUCAGAUGUGAAAGUCCACGGCUCAACCGUGGAAGUGCAUUUGAAACUGGAUGGCUUGAGUACUGGAGGGGGUGGUGGAAUUCCCGGUGUAGAGGUGAAAUUCGUAGAUAUCGGGAGGAAUACCGGUGGCGAAGGCAGCUCACUAAGUAUACACUGACGCUGAUGGACGAAAGCGUGGGGAGCGAACAGGAUUAGAUACCCUGGUAGUCCACGCCGUAAACGAUGGUUACUAGUUGUUGGGGUUUACCUCAGUGACUAAGCGAAAGUGAUAAGUAACCCACCUGGGGAGUACGUUCGCAAGAAUGAAACUCAAAUGAAUUGACGGA